rnacentral:misc_RNA from 1 species
GAUGAAGAACGCAGCGAAAUGCGAUACGUAAUGUGAAUUGCAGAAUUCAGUGAAUCGUCGAGUCUUUGAACGCACAUUGCGCCCCCUGGUAUUCCGGGGGGCAUGCCUGUCCGAGCGUCAUUGCUGCCCUCAAGCACGGCUUGUGUGUUGGGCCUCCGUCCUCCUCCCGGGGGACGGGCCCGAAAGGCAGCGGCGGCACCGCGUCCGGUCCUCGAGCGUAUGGGGCUUCGUCACCCGCUCUUGUAGGCCCGGCCGGCGCUUGCCGACACAUCAAUCUUUUUUCCAGGUUGACCUCGGAUCAGGUAGGGAUACCCGCUGAACUUAAGCAUAUCAAUAAGCGGAGGA